UAUUGAUCCGGGGGGAAAGAUAAACAGCGAAGCCGGCCCCUGUGUCCUGAAUGCUAAUGCGCGCGCCUUCCGCAUUUUAAUUGUUGUUCACUUCUUAUUUCCACCGCAAACAUUCGCCGCCCUCAGCGUGGCGAUUCCCCCCUCCGUCUUUAUUUCACUUCGCUCGCUCUCCUUCAGCUUUCUUCCUCCCGUUUUGGUUUCUUUUCUUUUUCCCCCGACUCCUCCCGUCGGAACCUCGCCUCGAAUUUCCCCACCGACGCCGGGGACAGCGGCUCCGCUCCGUGCCUCGCCCCAUCCCCGCGCAGCGCAGCGCCGCUCCCACCGCUCCUCUUCGGGCUGCGCGGCUCAGCCAGCAGCGCACGGCUCAGCCCGGACCCCCUCCCCCCUCACACCGCUGCUCGGGGACCCACGGACCGCGCACUUAAGGGGCAAUUAAGCGGGUCGAGCCGACGCGUCAGACAGCGAGGAGACGCUCAGCUCGAAUUCCCGUCAUUACAAAUGAUUUUCACGAAGGGAUCUCCUAAAAUAUGGUCGUUUGUUUUCCUCCUUUACCCUUCCCAGGGUGUUUUUUAGUCCACGAAUGAUUUACUGCGGAGGUAACGUCGGAGGACGCGGUUAACAGAGUGACUUAUUGGGGCGAACAGCCCGGGCUGACACCUCCGUGUGCCCACACCGCACCGCUCCGCACCGCUCCGCAUUCCUUCACAGCGCGGACUCCCGGCCGACAUCAAACGACCCCCGGCGAGCGCGGCGGUUUUAAGACACGGGGAAAUGAAAACUAAAUACGGGCUUAAAGUAUAAAACAAAAUUCGGGAGGAGAGGCGUAGAUCGCUUCGGUACAAUCCCGCGGGGGCAGAGCCCGAGCAGCCGACUCGGGCCGGAGCAGAAGCGGUCCUUCCGCUGACCGCUAUUUACUGCCGCGUUAUCGCGGCGGUGGUUUUAAUUCCCGGUAGGAACGUCGGGCCGAGAGCGGUGCCCGCAGUUUCCCCCAACGCUCUUUCCCCAUUUCUUUGGUGUCGGCGUUACGAGGCUGCAACAGAAGGAAAACGUUUCCACCGUUCCGCUUAACGCCCUUCACUUCUCCCCGGCACUUUGGCUUUGAGAGGCUUCUCUCGUCACCGGCACGGACGCCGCUCCUCUUUUUCCCGUUAUUUUGGCCGUUCCGCGUCCGCGGACUGAGCCCACGGCCGGGUCAGCCCCUUCCGAAACGCUCCGCCCGAGCCCGACCCGACGGCUGCGCCCCGUGCCCGCUGCCUCGGCGUUGCUCUGCGCUCAACCUGCCC
ensembl:lncRNA